rnacentral:rRNA from 1 species
UACGUAGGGGGCAAGCGUUGUCCGGAAUCAUUGGGCGUAAAGCGCGUGUAGGCGGCCCGAUAAGUCCGCUGUGAAAGUCCAGGGCUCAACCCUGGAAUGCCGGUGGAUACUGUCGGGCUCGAGUCCGGAAGAGGCGAGUGGAAUUCCUGGUGUAGCGGUGAAAUGACGCAGAUAUCAGGAGGAACACCGAUGGCGAAGGCAGCUCGCUGGGACGGUACUGACGCUGAGACGCGAAAGCGUGGGGGAGCAAACAGG